UAGGCACUGUAGACCACAAGCAAAUCGGAAAAUAGACUCCAGUGCUAAGGAUCAUAUUCUAGAAAGAAAACCAGAAUCUGAGGAGCCAUCAUACCAACCUGUAUAGCACAGAAUUGUCUACCUAUGGAUGUUGACAUUGGGGACAGUGCUGUCUCAGUCAUACAUGGACAUGAGGGGCAGGCAAGGGUAAGACUGGCUGGAAGGAAGGACCAGUGCUUGCCUGGAGACAUUUGUGUUUCAGCAUCCCCUUCAACACAAGGCUCACCAUAGAAGCUGUGCUGUCUGAAGAAAGGAUUCAUUUUAUCUCAUAAAUGAAAAGGUGGAUCAGAUUUAUGGAGAGAAGGAGAGACAGAAAUAUCUUCUAUCCACUGGUUCACUGCCCAAAUGACCACAACGGCUGGAGCUGAGCCCAUGCAAAGCCAGGAUUCAGAGGCGUCUUCUCAG